rnacentral:misc_RNA from 1 species
GAACGCAAAUUGCGCCCGAGGCUUCGGCCAAAGGCAUGUCUGCCUCAGCGUCGGCUUCACCCCUCCCCUCCCUUUCUCGUUUUUUCACAAAGAGAGAAAGGCGAGGGGGACCUGGUUGUCUCGGCCCUCACCGGCCGGGUCCGCCGAAGCACAGAGGCUCGAGCAGGACCCCGUUUACAUGGGCAACAGUCUGGUAGGCGACCUCCCCGGUCGCAUGCCGCUGGUGCCUGGGGCGCCUGCUGCGUCGAGCCCGCAGGAAGUGGCUGCUUGCCACGCCUUCACCCAUUCGACCUGAGUUCAGGCAAGAGCACCCGCUGAACUUAAG